rnacentral:rRNA from 1 species
GACAGAGGCCUCAAGCGUUAGGCGGAAUCACUGGGCUUAAAGCGUGUGUAGGCGGAUCGUUAAGUGUCUUGUGAAAUCCCACGGCUCACCCGUGGAACGGCUGGGCAUACUGGCGAUCUUGGGCCAACUAGGGGCAACUGGAACAAGCGGUGGAGCGGUGAAAUGCGUAGAUAAUCGCUUGGAACGCCGAAGGUGAAAACAGGUUGCUGGGGUUGUGC